UUUGCCUUUAGGAGGGGAAUAACAAUUGGAAACGAAUGCUAAUACCCCAUAUGCUUUCGAGUGAAAUGGAUUUAUAUUUAUCCGCCUAGAGAGAAGCUCGCGGCUGAUUAGCUUGUUGGUAAGGUAAGAGCUUACCAAGGCGACGAUCAGUAUCUGGUUUGAGAGGACGAUCAGACACACUGGAACUGAGACACGGUCCAGACUCCUACGGGAGGCAGCAGUGGGGAAUUUUCCGCAAUGGGCGAAAGCCUGACGGAGCAAUACCGCGUGAGGGAAGACUGCCUAUGGGUUGUAAACCUCUUUUUCCAGGGAGGAAUAAAUGACGUGUACCUGAAGAAUAAGCAUCGGCUAACUCCGUGCCAGCAGCCGCGGUAAGACGGAGGAUGCAAGUGUUAUCCGGAAUCACUGGGCGUAAAGCGUCUGUAGGUGGUUUAAUAAGUCAACUGUUAAAUCUUGAGGCUCAACUUCAAAAUCGCAGUCGAAACUAUUA
rnacentral:rRNA from 1 species